rnacentral:rRNA from 1 species
UCGGGAAUUUUGGGCAAUGGGCGAAAGCCUGACCCAGCAACGCCGCGUGAAGGAUGAAAUCCCUCGGGAUGUAAACUUCGCAAGAACGGGAAGAAUAAGUCGGUGCAAAUAUCGCCGAUGAUGACGGUACCGUUUGUAAGCUCCGGCUAACUCCGUGCCAGCAGCCGCGGUAAUACGGGGGGAGCAAGCGUUGUUCGGAUUUACUGGGCGUAAAGGGCGCGUAGGCGGCCACCGCAAGUCGGUUGUGAAAUCUCCGGGCUUAACCCGGAAAGGUCAACCGAUACUGCGGGGCUAGAGUGCAGAAGGGGCAACUGGAAUUCUCGGUGUAGCGGUGAAAUGCGUAGAUAUCGAGAGGAACACCUGCGGCGAAGGCGGGUUGCUGGGCUGACACUGACGCUGAGGCGCGAAAGCUAGGGGAGCGAACGGG